rnacentral:rRNA from 1 species
GACGAACGCUGGCGGCGUGCUUAACACAAGAAAGUCGAACGAAGUGGCGAACGGGUGAGUAACGAGUAAUCAACCUGCCCUUCAGAGGGGGACAACAGUUGGAAAAGACUGCUAAUACCGCAUACUGUAGGAGGGGAUUGCUGCGGAUUAGCUAGUUGGAGGGGUAACGGCCCACCAAGGCGAUGAUCAGUGGCCGGGCUGGGAGGAUGAACGGCCACAUUGUGACUGAGACACGGCCCAGACGCCUACGGGAGGCCGCAGUGGGGAAUCUUCCGCAAUGGACGAAAGUCUGACGGAGCAACGCCGCGGGGGUGAUGACGGCCUUCGGGUUGUAAAGCUCUGUUAAUCGGGACGCGGUACCGGAAUAGAAAGCCACGGCUAACUACGUGCCAGCAGCCGCGGUAAUAC